rnacentral:tRNA from 1 species
GUCUGGUUGGCUCAGUCAGUAGAGCGCAUGACUCUUGAUCUUGGGGUUGUAGGUUUGAACCCUAUUCUGGGUG